CGGGAGCUGCGGCUGUUCCCAGAAAUCUCCAUCGGUAACUUUUCCCGAAGCCGUCGUUCGGGUUCGAGCCUUCACGCGGCGAGCGGCUCCAUGGGAUGAAACCUAUUCGGCUGCUUCUGUGGUGCGAUGCGAGGCGCUGGCGAGCAGCUCGGGGGGUGCUUUGGAAGGGGACCGUAUGGCACAGGGCCUGAAACGCGUCGUUGCUUCCAAGUCUCGCUGCGGAUGGGUCAGCUCGGUGCAUUUCUUCCUUCUAAGUGUCAGGUCGGGAUGUGAAAAUACCUGCCCGAACUGCUCCAGCUGUGGGGUAAAGAGGCAGAAAGCACUUUUCCCUUAAACCAGAUCCCAUUUAUGAAGAUCAAACGUGAUAUCCAUCCUGAGAGCGCAACUGCGGUGAAUAAAUACCUCUGGCUUAGAGCUAAUUAAGAAAUAACAACCCCAGCUGUUGGACCGACCUGCAGAAGCCUUGUUGUAACCCUGACAUCUGCCCGCCUCCAGCAGUCCCUGCGAGUUCCUGGCCACAUCAGCCUUCCCUGGUCCUGCAGCAGCGUGCAGAGGUGAGCAGUCAGGUUCCCCAUCAGGUAAUUCUGGUUCUCCUUCCAGGGCAGCAGCCCCGGUACAGCAGGAAGGCAGCCCAGGUCCUGGCAGGGCGAUGGGAAGGGCCCUUUGUGGGCAGGACUGCCUGCAGAUGGGCUGAAGGAAUCAGUAUUCCACCAACUGCUAGAAGAAAAUUAAACUUUAUUUAAAAAUUCUUCUAAUGUAGAAAACGAGAGGAGACGAAGGCAAAAACGAAUGCCCCUGGUUCCAUCUCAUUACAGGAGUUACUGUAUGUACAGCUUCAGAAAGGAGCACUGGCAGAAGGUACACAUCCUACUUAUGGAGCACUACAAACACUUAACAAUACGUUGUACAAACCUGACGUAACAUUGAAAGGUUCACUGCAGGAAACAAUUAAAUACAGUCGCUAAGACAGACAGUAGAAGAGCACAGACUGAUGUUAUUUCAUCCCGAAUCCUCCGUGUUCCAGGCAGCCCAAACCACCCUCAAUCAGCCCCCACUGCCUUGGUGAGAAGCUGCUGCAUCCCAAAGGAUUGGGAUCGCUCUGCAUGGGCUGGAGGUCAGCGGCACAGAGGGGGACACCACCAAACCCUUUCUAUCCUAGUUUGACUUUCUGGCCAACGUGAAGAACUGAAUCAAAUCAAAGCAGUGAAGCAAUGCUGUGCUGCACCUCGCGUGCCUAUAGGCGGCGUCGCAGCUGAAGGCCCAGCUCGUUGAGCAGUGUACGUUUUUGCACGUGUGGGACAACAACAGAGAGAGCUCAGAUAGAAAAUCACCGAGCUAUUUCCAAAUUUACACGACUUUUGAUACUGUGUGAUGGGGAAAGGCUGAGGGCAGCUCUGCGGGGCAGCAGCUCAGCUCAACCUCUGCACCUGAGUUCCAUCCUGCACGAAGCAAAGCGUGGGCGAAGCUGGUGUGUCACAGACCGGGAUCCCACGUCCUUCCUCCUGCCAUGACAAACUCAGCCACCGCAUGCAGGCAGUACUUCUGAGAACCCCGAGCAGUCGGCCGCUCCCUCCGGGCCUCCGUUCCCUCCUGAGAACACCAGCAGGGAUUUGGGCUGUGAGCAGUUUGGUUCGUGUGACGAGGAGCCAGAAAUGGCCAAUGCAAACGCUCUCCCAGGAUGCAGUCCUCAGCAACGCAGCUCCUCGAGGAGGGAGCAGCACUUUUCUGGCUGACUUAUAAAGCCACUUAUUGCAGUUGCCAUGGGCAUGUAUCAGGUAAGCAACAGCCUCAGAUCGGGUGGCAGAGUGAAAACAAAGAGUUUGUAUCAUCUGAAUGGGACUGUGGGAAGUGUUAAAGCUUGUGAGUGCUGACCUGA
ensembl:lncRNA